CCCAGAACCAAGAAUGUUCGUGAGUUUCCGAGCUCCCUUCCCUGUCUCCUGCAGUAAGACGUGACAUUCACAAUCAUAAUCUGUGCUCUUGAGGCCUCACUUGCGAUGAGCCCCACACUCACUCCACACUGUCUUCCCACCUGCAAAUGAGCCAGCCCUGUGGUAGAAAUCAGUGAGGGUGCCUCGGCUGUGGCGCUGAAGAGGAGGUUCUGGGAGAGUUCAAAGGUGAUGGCAUCUCAUUACCAUGUGCUCAGGAAUUAGAGGUUGGGCACUGUGGCUCCUGCGUGUAAUCCUAGAACUUUGGGAG